CCCUUAGAUGUUCUGGGCCGCACGCGCGCUACACUGAUGCAUUCAACGAGUUUUACCUUGGCCGAGAGGCCUGGGCAAUCUUUUAAACCUGCAUCGUGAUAGGGAUAGAUUAUUGCAAUUAUUAAUCUUGAACGAGGAAUUCCUAGUAAGUCCCAGUCAACAGCUGGUACUGAUUACGUCCCUGCCCUUUGUACACACCGCCCGUCGCUACUACUGAUUGGACGUUUAAGCAAGAUUUUUAAACACUGACAGUGUGUAGUUCACGCUAUACUACAGUGAGAAGAAGAAGAUCGAGCUUACUUGUCUAGAGGAAGUAAAAGUCGUAACA
rnacentral:rRNA from 1 species